rnacentral:rRNA from 1 species
GCUGGCGGCGUGCUUAACACAUGCAAGUCGAGCGAGGCCUGGGGGGCAACUCCCAGAGUCGAGCGGCGGACGGGUGAGUAACACGUGGGUAACCUGCCCGGAAGUGGGGAAUACCUCGGGGAAACUCGAGCUAAUACCGCAUGACAUCUUCGGGACGAAAGUCCUGACGAUCAAAGCGGGGUCGCAAGAUCUCGCGCUACCGGAUGGGCCCGCGCCCGAUUAGCUAGUUGGUGAGGUAACGGCUCACCAAGGCUUCGAUCGGUAACCGGCCUGAGAGGGCGAUCGGUCACACCGGAACUGAGACACGGUCCGGACUCCUACGGGAGGCAGCAGUGGGGAAUCUUGCGCAAUGGGCGAAAGCCUGACGCAGCAACGCCGCGUGGAGGAUGAAGGCCCUUGGGUUGUAAACUCCUGUCGGCUGGGAAGAAAUCAUACGGUGCUCAUACCACCGUAUGUUGACUGUACCAGCAAAGGAAGCCCCGGCUAACUCUGUGCCAGCAGCCGCGGUAAUACAGAGGGGGCCAGCGUUAUUCGGAAUUAUUGGGCGUAAAGGGCGCGUAGGCGGCCAUGCGUGUCUUCCGUGAAAUCCCUCGGCUUAACUGAGGACGUGCGGAAGAAACUGCAAGGCUCGAGUCCGGGAGAGGGGGGGGUGGAAUUCCCAGUGUAGCGGUGAAAUGCGUAGAUAUUGGGAGGAACACCGGUGGCGAA